UUCUGUUGUGUGUACAUCCAAGUUAUUUCCUGGUGGGUUUCAUAGCCCAGAAGCAGUGUCUUGGUUGCUUUUGUCCCUGUUAAAUGGCCUCCUGUUGCAGUAGCGCAGUGAGUUCUGAGCUGCGUUCACCUGUGUGAUUUAGCCCACUGCCAUUCCAUUGAAGUAAAGCUGCACAGGUGUUGAUCAGUCAAACCCAGAUGGCUGCUCUAAUUACAGUAUCUUAAUGAAAGGAGAGAACACAUGUAUGUGUGUGAGGAGAGAUGGUCCUAUGGGGAUGCUACACAAUAGACAAGUGCUAAGCAUAUUAAUAAUUUAUAGGUCAAUUAGUAUUCAGCUUAUCCCACAAGUUCAUAUCCGAAUCCAGAUCCAAACAGUCCCAAAUGGGUGCAUUUAGCCUUUUUGUUCAAACCCUGCUCUAUUUGUCAGUGAUGCUACUGGUCCCUGAACAACAACACUUCCAGCCAAGUCUUGCUCUAGUUUGUUCCUGUGUGAAGCCAGAGCUGAUUCACAGAUGUCUGUGAAAGCAAUUCCAGAUUCACUCUGUGGUGAAUUAGAACUAAUUAAAUUCACUGCAAAAUGCCUUAUUUAACAGGUUGAGAUGAAAUAGAAUUAAAUAAUACUCCAAUGCUCUCAUACGCAUUAGAACGUAGGAAAAUUAUUCAGAACAUCAUUUACCUGUUAUUUGCUAGUAAGAAUUAGACAGCAAACCACCAUUGAAAUUCCUUUGGUAAUACAAAUGCCAGAGUUGCAGCUUUGCUCGAGUUCUGCUAAGAACACUUAUGAGCAUAGUGAUGGAUUCAAAACGUGCUUUACAGGUGACCUAUAAGCAAUAUUCCUGCCUGCAGUUCAUCUCCCCUGUAUAUAAUCCUAAGGCAUGCAAACUCCCAUUGGGCUAUUGGAACCCAUCUGAUGGAUUCUAAAAGAAAUCAAACAUAGGUGAGCUUUGAUGCUCUGCUUUUGGAUGUUGGAGGUGAUGUAAGAGAGAUCCCACUAACUGAGGGUGCUGCUCCAACAGAUUGCUUUGCCAAUCACAAGGAGAAAAACUUCCAAGAACACAAACUAUUUCUAGGAAAAUGGGACAGUGAGGUAAAAUAAGGGCUCCUCGCUGCACAAAACAGGUCACCCACAGCACUGAGCAGAUGCCCAUCGCUGUCUGAGCUGUGGGAACAGGUUCUUUGACGCUGUUGUGUGACUAAAUGAGGCAGGUCAGAAGCCAGGAGAUGGAAAGAAAGAGAUCAUGGCAGAUAUAUAGAGACAUCUUCACACGUGUUUAAGCAUUAGCAGGUUUGAUCACUCAGCUUACUUCUUGGCUUUAAAUGAUGAUGGUACUUCAGAAGCAUAGAAGUGAAUGGAAAAAGUCUCCGAUUUUUUAAUCUGGAUGUUUUCCUUGAUCACGCAUUAAUUUAUUGUUAAUAAUUUACCAAAGCAACAGUUCAUUGGGGACUUUAGAUGCUUGCAAAGCCAAAGUCCAGAAUGAAAAAUAAGAGCAUACGGCUGCAAGGAUAAAAUAGCAAAGUUACAUUUAGAUAAAGAAAAGCAUUUCUCUCCUGAUACCUCUUAUGUUAUGGGCACAGACCAGAUCCAGUGGUGGAGUUUUGCAUCAGCCCCACAGGUACUGCUGACUCAGUUAUACCCACAGAAAUACAGCUGCAAAAGGAAUUCUCAUCACAUGACAGUGAUGUGAACAGCCUCAGAAAUAGGUCUAAAUUAACUCUUGAAGUAAUGCAUAUAUGCUGGCCAAAAAGAAAGCCAACGGGAUUCUGAUCCUUAAUUUCUGACUGUUCUCAUUUACUUAUGGCAAAGGGCAGAUUCAACACCUUCUGCCAUGGACAGAUAUUGACACUGUCAGAUUAUCAUGGAAAAGAGGUAAUUUUCAAAUGAGUCUUCUUUAUAAGCCCACCUACUGCCAUGGUGUUGAGAAAUCACCAUCAGAAUUAUUCUUGUACCACUUGACUACAGGAUUGGGUUAAAUAACACAGCAGCUCCCUGUCUGAGGAAAAGUAUAACUGUGUGAAUAUUUAAUAUGCAUGAAAACCAAUUAACUGUACCUAUCUGAUUCAGCCUCAUAAAUUAAUAACACCCUUGCUAGACUCCCAGCAAAUCAAUUGGAAUUCAAGGGCCCUUUAGAGGUUAGUUUCAGAUUCCAAGAUAAAGGAUGAUUAGUUUGUCAUUAUCUCACUCUGCCUGAAUGGUUUGAGCACUCUGGGUUUUGUCAAUAGAGAAACUUACUUCAGAGCCAAGAAUGUUUUUGUGGCUCAUUGCAACAGUUUCCUUUGAUCCCAGUAUUUACCUAGAGUUGCUGAACAGUAGGUACCAGUAAAGGGCAUGGAGCAGCUUCCCAAAUCUCUCCUUUCUCAUUUCUUUUCAUGUUGAAGUCACUUUUGUGCUUUCAACAUGCCCGUGCAAACCAUUCCAUCUGCAAGCUCUGCUAUACAAACAACAUUACCUGAGCUGUUCGCAAGAGAAUACUGGAGUCCCAUUGAGUAAAAGGAGCUUUUUUGGGCUAUGGGAGGCUUCAGUCCACUUCCAUGUGCCUCAACUCUGCCUGUUGGGGAGGGGGAACGCCAGAGCAUUCAUCCACAUGACAGAAGUACCAACCCUGCUGUGCAUGAACAGCUUCAAUCCCUGCAGGUUUGUUUGUUCCUCUUGUAAAGCACGGAUGUUUUUCAUUGUCGUGAAGAAUUUUAACCUGCUGAAUAGUGGAUACAGCACGGGAAUUUUAGGCGUUGGAAAUGAACUACAUAAUUUCCAGUCUCCUGGGUUUAUAGUUUGAUCUUCCCUCAGGGUUACAAGGUAGGCAGGCUUACAGUCCCAUUGGGAAGGAUAACAAGGCUGAACAUUGGAAGACACUUAGAAUUUUUCCUUCAGAUAAGUAGAGCUCAGCAUGGAGCCCUCUAUGGCCACUGACUGUUACUGUGACCUCCUAUCCCCAGACCAUCUUUUGAAUGGAGAAAGGCUUCUGGGAACAUCUUGUCUGCUCUUGUCAGAAUGGCUUGAGCCCACAGUGUAGCCAUUUCAGGGCUCAGGCUGAAGUGCAAGGCUGUAUGUACAUCUAUUGGGUGCUGUGACUCAUUCCCUUGGAGGGCUGUUUCUAUACGAUUUCUCCCCAACAAAUUCAAGUUCAUGCCUUCAAAUAAUGUCACAGCUUCCUGCUGAGCCGUCUCAGCACAGCAGUGCUUCCCUCUGAGCUCAGAAUCUUCCCCAGGUUCUUGGAGAUCAGCUGCCUUCUGUCACUGCAGGACAUGAAGCCAUACUAUUAUCUGAGUAUCCCAUUUGUUUGUAUCCCAUCUACCUACAAGUCAGUGCCAUUCAGAAUGUAAGCAGUGUUCUCCUAACAUGAUACAGUUCUUGUGUUUCAGCCCAUCUUCUCAAACCACUAAAUUCAGCUGCAAUAACCGCCUCCGUCUCACAAACCUCUUAAUGAGUUGUCAUUAGCACCAAUUGCCCUGAGUGUCUGACAUCUCCCAUAGCUCCACAUGUCUUGCAGAGGGUGAGUCCAUGUUCUCCAUCCCUAUUGAAAUCGAUUCUAAAAGUAACUGUGCAGUGUGAUACAAAAGUGCAGUGUGAUACAAACUGCUUCUUCUGAGCUCGUCUGGUGUGUGUUUCAAGUCCCCCAGGAGCACAUCAGUGGUUUUACAGCUCCGAAGAGCCCGUGCCCAAGCACUAAUGGGUGACUUGGCAGGCAGAUGUAACCUCGGCAUUUCUUCCUGCUUCCUAAAGUCGGUUCUUUCAUCGUGUUUAUAGAUCAGUAGAUUCUUAUUCUAUGUUACAUUUCAGGGAUGCAGCCUGAAAGACGACCAGUGCCUGUGGAAGGAAACAUUGCACUUACACACACAUUUUUAUUGUGUUGAUGGCAUUAUGUCUUGUAGGAUGACAUCUGCAGACAGGAAGCAAUGGCUCCAUUUGAGGCAACUGCAAAGCUGCCAUUGCUAUGGGUGGCUCAUUCAUAAAGCUCCAUGCACACCUCAUUGUUGGCUAUAACUUCAGUGGACGAAGAACUCCCAGGAUAAGCCAAAAUACGCCAGGCCUGAGCCACCAAACUCUUUGAGUAGAUUAUUUUCAGCCAAUCUUUCAUGUUUUGGCUAAGUUUAGCAUUUUACUAGGGGUCAGCCCAGACCAAAGGAAAUGCCUUUGCAGCCUUGAUGCCAUUUGCUGCCAGAGCUAGGGAAAUCCUCCAGGGGGAUGAUGCGAGCGCAGUUAAAGGACACUUAACCAAAGGACAGGGAAAGCCCGGGGAGCACCGCGUGUCUUUUAGCUUCAUCACCUAUUUUCCCCCCAUUCCUUGGAUGCAUUGCGCCGCUUCUCAAUAGUGAAGCCCCUGCUGGCCGUUUUGGGAAGCGCUGUGCAGCACCGGGCGGCUCCCUUGGCUCGGUGCCGUCGUGGGGUCCCGCCUGCCCGGUGCGCGGCGCUGGGCUUUCCGAGCCGCCCGCCCGCCGUGCCGCAGCCUCAUGUCCUCGCUCCCCGCCGGCACCGACAUCAAGAGGGCUCUGGACAACAGCCCCGAGACAAACAUCGAGGAUGAACUCCCCGACGGUCCGCCGCAACCGCGGCCCAAGAACUACCUGCUCCUCAGCAUCCUCGCCUGUUUCUGCCCCGCGUAUCCCAUCAACAUCGUAGCCUUCGUCUUUGCCGUCAUGGCUUUAAACAGUUAUAACCAAGGAGACAUAGAAGGAUCAAGAAGACUGGGCCGCAAUGCGCUCUGGGUUGCAGUUGCAUCCAUUAUCAUUGGCCUUGUCAUCAUUGGAAUCUACUGCGUAGUUCAUUUCACAACGAGUCUCUAAAGCCCCUGCUGGUCUUCAGAGAAGAAAGCAGUGCUGUUGGUUAAUACACCCCAGUGGUUUGCAGUCUGAGCCCUUUCCCAUGGACACUCAGCACCUCAGUCAGAGUGCAGCUCCUUCAGGAGUGGCCACAAUCACCCCAGUUCUGAAGAGGAGCACUGAGUAUUCCCCACAGCUGUGACCUUGACAGCCACAUCUGAAGCCUCAUCUGGGUCGAUGCACUUGAUGUGUCAGGCAGUUUUGGAAGCAGUGCCCUGCAGCUCAUCACCACUGCAGCCACAGUCUCAUGCCAUCAUCUGUACAAACUCUUAACUGCUGAAGACCUUUUUUGCCACCUUUGAGCAUCUCUCAUUGAAACUGUUGGGAAAUGAGUGCUCAAAUGUCUCCAGAUCUGGACAUAGUUCCUUCAGCAUUCACUGGAAAGUAGCUUGUUCCCUGUGAAUGGUGUUUCUAGAAGACUAGUUUGAUAAGCAUGCUAUCUGAAGACCAGGACUGCACUUGGAAUCCAGCACCAUGUAAAUCUCAGGAGAGGAAAAGUAAGAAGAAAAGGAAACCCAUCUUUCCGGACUGUUAGAUUUUACCCUACAAGUCUGCAGAGGCAUGUUGCUGGUGGAUGCAGUGAUAGCCCAGUUAGUAAAUCAGCAUGGCGUGACCAGGUUUUCCAAGUUAUUUAUUUGUACAGAACCUCAGUAUAAAGAAGUGGGUUGUUUUUAUUUCACCCCAGUGUGAUAACCUUGCCCUAACAACUCCCUUUUCUUUCUCAUCUAUGUGGAACGUGUGCUGGGUCCAUGACGUUCCGUGGCUGAGCCAAGCCAAAACCAACCUAUCUCGACUGUUCUAGUGCACAGUGUGAGCUCUGAUGCGCAGCUAGUGGGACUCCUGUCACCUCCAGUGGGUUUUGGAUCAGGCCGUGAUCAGAACAAUGAGUUUGUGGUUUGUCCCACAAUGUGGUUUUGUAAUGCUGUGGGUGUACUCUGACUCGGUGGCUGCUUUCUCCUCUCACCUCCAGUUUUUAGGUCUUCGCAUUGGGUUUCUCACCACCUGGGACCGAUUUCAAUCCCUUAAUUAUGAGGAGAUACUUCUGUUCUGUAGCAUCCAUAUUUUUAAUGAUUUCCUCCUGUUUUGUUGUCUUUCCUUGCUGAACUCCCUUAACUCAGUUCUAGUCCUGCACUAAAGUUGCACCAAUCAUGUUUUUCUCCUUAAACUCCAUGUAUAUGAAAUUUUUCCUUUUUUAUCUCACAAAAGCUCUUUUUAAACAGAUGUUCUUCUCAUCCCUCUGUUAUUGUUCCUAUAGCAAGUCAGGUUUUCAUUCUGUUCUGCUUUGUUUGCGUCUUAUUUUUAAUUCACCCCCUCGUCUUGCUAUGAAUAGUCCAUAUAUCAGCACAGAGAUGGACAGACUUCUCUACACUCACUGAUUUACACAGACUUGCUGAUCCUGUGUUACCCCUCAGUGAACAGCUUUAGGCUGCACAAAGGAUGCCCUCUAAAUUUCUGCAGUUUCUCGAUACCUUAUAAAAAUGUAGAGUGGGACAACUAGAUCUAAUUAGCUGGAAACUGUUUGAAAGAAUGGAUUUCUUUUUAUCACCCAAAUAUUCCAUGUUCAAAGGAGCGAACUGCGAGCAUUGGCACAGAUGACGAUGUCUUUGGUGACUGUUGCUCCAUUUGUUUUAAUUGUUAUGACACCUUCAAGCAAGCCACACCAACUUACAUUUACUCUCCUAAAUCUGGACUGAAUACCCAGAAAUGCAUGGGAGUUUUACAGGUGCACGUGAGCAAUGCCUGGCAGGAGUACUAGUAUGUCUAGCAUUCAAAUAAAAAAGAAAAAGACAAAAAAAAAAAAUAGAAAAAAAAAUAUCUCCCAGAAAUCUGUACUUGUUGAAGCGUAUGCCUGGAAGUAGCAUGUAUUUCCUGCGCCUCAAUAUUGUGUUUUUCAUGUGCUUCUUUCACAUUUCUUUCUGCCAGCCUCUGUUUUUCAUUGAAGUCAGUGAUGCGCAGCCUGUCCUUAAUUACUCCGGUACAAAACUUUGCACUUAUCAGUGGAAUGAGUUGAUUUCCCCAGCACUUACACUGAUGUAAUUUGUGCAAGGCAGAAUCUGGCCGCUGGUUUUGAUGACUCCAAGAAGUGGCUGUUCUGUGAACUUCUCUUUGUUUCUCUGAAUACUGUUUCAGUGGUCUGAUAACGUCUUGUGGGACUUUGGGUAGCUUGCCUUAUUAUCAGAUACAAUACAUACAACAAUGUCAUUGAGAAGUGGAAUAAAAUUACUUUUACUUCA